CGUUCCCGGACCUUGUACACACCGCCCGUCAAGCCAUGGGAGUCGGGAGGACCUGAAGCCAGUUGCUGUAAGGCGCUGUUUAGGGUAAAAUCGAUGACUGGGGCUAAGUCGUAACAAGGUACCC
rnacentral:rRNA from 1 species